AGGUGAUUGCUUUCGAUUUACUGUUCGAUUUGAGAAAGGCAUUCCCAUCCUUGAUGCUUUCGCCCGAUGACGUGAAGGGCCUUUGCCUGGUGCUCGGUGUCACAGCAUCAUCGAAUCCGCUCAUUCAGAACAUUAUAGAUACAAAUGCUGAUGUCUGGAACGCCAUCUGAUUGGUGGCGCUUGUUACCAUGGUCCUGCGUAAAACAGAAGUCGUGAUUUAUUUACAGAGGCAAUUGCUUGCCUUUCCCACAUUUUCCUGCUAUCCUAAACAGCUUCAGACUGUUGCUGGCGACGGUAACGUUACUUUAUGGCUUUCUUCGGGAUAACGAAUUUGGGCUAUCAAAACCCCAUCGGAGACAAUAUGUUAUUGAGUCCGAGAUCGUCUGCUUCUCCCGGUGAUGAGGUGGAUUCAAGGAGCUGGGCUAAACAGUCAGGACUGCCCUCCAUCCAAGUCCAGAGGGGACCCCCAAAAUGCACUGAUACCGGCAGUAUCUACAACCAGCCUUCUCCCUUCAGCCAAGACAUACACCAAGGGAGCCAGGGGCGAUACAGAGAGAUGCUCAAACGGGUUCAGAUACCAAGAUGUAAGUUAGAUCCCCGAAUCAGCUGUACUCCGUGCCCCUGACAGACAGCCAUCAGUGUGGAUGGUGGAUGUCUAAUGGAGGCCAAGGAAAGAUGCAUGAACCCUGGACCCAAGUCAGACGAUUCCCCCGCAAGAACAGUGAGAUGACCAAGUUUGUGAAAGAGAUGUCAAUGACGGACCGAGAGUUCAGCUUAUUCUGAUUUCCACUCCUGCAGUAACAUACACACAAUCCCAUCCAAAGACCUCUGGGACCUUUACACUCUAAGGACUAUUGUGGUUUAAUAAACUGAGACAUUUUCAUUCAUCAUAGCAUGUUAUGAAAUGUAUUGGGUAUCUGUGACUGCUUGCUCUCACCUAAUAAUUUCGUUGGUCAGCAUCUGCUCAAUGACAAUCAGCCAAUGGUAAUCCUAGUUUUUACAACAGGUAAAGAAAGCCGCACACAUUAACAGCAAUCAACACCACAUAAAACAGCCAUUGUUUUUAUUUUUAAAAAUUCUUCAAGGGGAAAUUUUAUUUUGUCUGUCAUAGUCCUAAACUCUUUUUGUCCUUCACUUCAGGAAAAACGGUGCCUUCUGAACUCCUUCAACACAAGGGUAGAAAACAAAAAGAAGGGGGCCGGAUUCAUCAGGCUUGAGCAAAACACACUUUCAGUAGUUCUGGGAUGACCCUCCCCUCAUCUGUGCCCUAAAAACAUCCCAAGAGUCAACAAUUAACAGCCACCCAACCCAAAGACAAGACAGCCUGUAGAAAUAGAAUAAAACGUGCAUCAUCUUAAUAACCACAUCCAUUCUAUGUAUUCUAUUUCUAUGUUAAUCACUCUCGAUUGG